CCUACGGGUGGCAGCAGUGAGGAAUAUUGGUCAAUGGCCGGAAGGCUGAACCAGCCAAGCCGCGUGAAGGACGAAGGUGCCAAGCAUUGUAAACUUCUUUUGUCAAGGGACAAAAUCAGGCUCGAGAGCCUGACCGAGGGUACUUGAAGAAAAAGCAUCGGCUAAAUCCGUGCCAGCAGCCGCGGUAAUAAGGAGGAUGCGAGCGUUAUCCGGAUUUAUUGGGUUUAAAGGGUGCGUAGGCGGACUGUUAAGUCAGCGGUAAAAGGUCGGGGCUCAACCCCGGCGAGCCGUUGAAACUGGGUGUCGUGAGAGGUCGAGAGGAAUGCGGAAUGCGUGGUGUAGCGGUGAAAUGCUUAGAUAUUGCGCAGAACUCCGAUUGCGAAGGCAGCAUACCGGCGUCGUUCUGACGCUGAGGCACGAAAGCGUGGGUAUCGAACAGGAUUAGAUACCCGAGUAGUC
rnacentral:rRNA from 1 species